UACGGAGGGGGCAAGCGUUGUUCGGAAUUACUGGGCGUAAAGGGCGCGCAGGCGGCUGCUCAAGUCAGGCGUGAAAGCCCUAAGCUCAACUUAGGAACUGCAUUCGAAACUGAAGGUCUAGAGUAGUGGAGAGGGAAGCAGAAUUCCUGGUGUAGAGGUGAAAUUCGUAGAUAUCAGGAGGAACACCGGUGGCGAAGGCGGCUUCCUGGCCACUUACUGACACUGAGACGCGAAAGCGUGGGGAGCAAACAGG
rnacentral:rRNA from 1 species